rnacentral:rRNA from 1 species
GAGUCUGCUGGAAGGCAGCGCCACUGAGGGUGACAGCCCCGUACGACUGAUGGUUGAGCCAUGUGAUUGCCCUUCGAAGAGUCGAGUUGUUUGGGAAUGCAGCUCAAAGCGGGUGGUAAAUUCCAUCUAAAGCUAAAUAUUGGCCAGAGACCGAUAGCGCACAAGUAGAGUGAUCGAAAGAUGAAAAGCACUUUGGAAAGAGAGUGAAACAGUACGUGAAAUUGUUGAAAGGGAAGCGCUUGCGAUCAGACUUGACCUGCACGUUCCCCCGUUCCUUGUGGACGGGUUAUUCGUGUGGAGCAGGCCAGCAUCAGUUCUGACGGCCGGAUAAAGGUUUGGGGAAAGUAGCUUUUCACUUGUGGGAAGUGUUAUAGCCCCGGACACAAUACGGCCUGACGGGACUGAGGACAGCGUUCGCUAGGAUGCUGGCGUAAUGGUCGUAAGCGGCCCGUC